UUUACAUAUAGCAAAGAUGACUAGCUCGACUGACACUGAGUUCUCUUCCUCUCUGGCUUAUGCCCUUUCUUGUGUGAAGAGAAGUCAUUUAGUUCUGAGGGAUAAACAGCUUGACACUCUACGGAUGCUGUACGAAGGGAAUGAUGUUUUCCUGUGGGUUCCUACUGGAUAUGAAAGUCUAUCUGCUACCAAACUUUGCCUUUUUUAUUCGACAAGAAGCUGGAUAGAAUUAGUUCUCCUCCUAGUGAGCGUAGUAUUGUCCCCUAGUGUCUCUAAUGGUAGAUCAAGUGACUAGUCUACAUGAUCAUGGUGUUCCUGCUGGUAUACUCAGUGGAAACAAAGGGGUCGAUAAGAAGUCCAAGUGAGUGCUUCACCUACCCCCAGAAUACUCAUAAGGCAGUGCCAGUCCUCUAUACAAGGCUCUAACUGCUCCAAUCGUCCACUGCGAGUGUCCGCAUCUCGCAUAUGUUUUUUGCUACAUCGCUGUCUUUCACAAGUCAUCUGAUCGCCACCUGACAUAACAAACAUCAAGGACUACAACCUCAGAUUUUUUGGCCAUCUCUGUGCUGUGGGGGUGCUUAAUGUGACUGACAACACACCGUUUGUACCGCUGGAGGGGCUUGAUGUACUCGCACAGUAUUCGACCGACUAGAACGACCAAAUUUUCUUGGAUGCCCUCAAUGUCGGCCUUUGUAGGAAGGAAGCAUCGAUAGGACGUUGGUACAGCUUGCUGAUUUUCGUGACCAACUUCAACACGGCACAGUAACUGAUAGUGACACUAAGAUGAUUCAGCCUGGAGUAUACCUUUGAAGAGUACGAGAGACAGAAACGACUGAAUACCACACAUUCUUGUGUUACGCUCUUUCAAGAGAAUUGCUGUGGCCAUACACAUCCCAGGGUAGUGACUCUCUCCGCGUUUAUGCAAGUUCCUAUGAUCUGAACGUCCUACGAUCGUCUGGAUAAGCCUAAAUAGAAUCGGAGACUUUCGCUGUAGUUCAGACACAGCCUGUUUCCACGAUAACGCUUCCACAUUGUCAAUUGGAACCCGGUGAAAUAGAGAGACAAACUCCCCAGAGUUACGACAUAGAGUGGAACAUUCGUCGUCAAGAAUUUUCACCACACCCUCUACCAAUUGGUCCUUCAGUGAAGGGCAAGAAAAUGCUGCCUUGGCAAUAGACUGAAUGUUGCCACUAUUCAGUGCCUGGCGUAAUUUCUGGAGACUUUCAUCUACUUCCGCAGUCACUGUACUGGGUGGUUUAACAUACCGUCAACAGAAGAAAACUGCUCGAGAUUGGUCAACUCUAACAGCGGUGGCUGACGAGGACAGUCUGUGUGCGCUAUGAAAAAGAGAUGAUUCCUGUCAUCUACAUAUAUGAUUUGUUGCAAUCAACCUACGUUCCUCCCUGGUUGAGAAAGCAAGCCUUCUUCCAGGUGCUCCUACUGUCAGACGUUUUGCUAGAGGUCUAGCAUGGACUGUGUGAGGUGAUGCUUCAAGCCCACUGGUGUCUUUAGUUCUCUUCCUACCUGAUACCAUAGGACUACAGAUGGAAGCCUUAUUUCGACCCUGCUCAAAACCACACUUAGCCAUACUUCUAAAGGCUUUAAGUUUAGACUCCAGAGACUGGAAUUUGUUUGUGCAAGCUCUACAAAUGUAUGAAGAUAGCCCAUCACACUCACUAACUGGCAGCUCUAGCAAUUUGCCAAGUCUGUCUGGAAGGCAUCUUUGAACAGACUCUUUUCUUUGCUGAACAGAGCUGAGCAGCGAGUAGAAGUAACAAUGUUGCAGCACAAUCUGCAUAUUCUGGUGGCUGCCAUUGUCUUGAACGUUCUACCACCAACCACGCAGUCUUACGUAUUUUUCCUUUGUGUACUUUGUCCGAUUUUAUCACUUGCGUAAUACUGAUAAAUA